rnacentral:lncRNA from 1 species
CCUGGAGGUGCAUCUCUCUGUCCAUCUUAAAUCUAAAGGAGAAUAAUCCUCUCAGGGUUAGAUGUUUUAGGUUAGGAGUCAUGAGGAUAUAAGGGAGCACAGGAAUUUCCCUGAUAAUAGUUUGCCCAGGUUUCUGGGGGUACAAUGCCCAGGCCACCGGUACUCUUGAAGGAACAACGGUUCAGGGAGAAGGAAUGUAUGGACUGACUCUUCAGAAUAUCUUCUGCCUGGGCUUUGAGAUCUCCUUUCUAUUUUCAUUUGAUUUUCAUCCUUCACAAUGGUCAUCACUCUGGAUCUUAAGACAGCCGAGUCAGGUCUCAUUAUAUCUGAGGAUCGAAAGAGCAUGAGAUAUGGAGGUGUCCAAGAGGGAUUGCCCAAUGGUACUGGGAGUUGAUCUUUUUGCCUGUGGCUUUGGGAUUCAGUCCUUCAAUUCAAGAUGUUACUGGGA